UACAGAGGUCUCAAGCGUUGUUCGGAUUCAUUGGGCGUAAAGGGUGCGUAGGUGGCGGGGUAAGUCAGGUGUGAAAUUUCGGAGCUUAACUCCGAAACUGCAUUUGAUACUGCCUUGCUUGAGGACUGGAGAGGAGACUGGAAUUCACGGUGUAGCAGUGAAAUGCGUAGAUAUCGUGAGGAAGACCAGUGGCGAAGGCGGGUCUCUGGACAGUUCCUGGACACUGAGGCAC
rnacentral:rRNA from 1 species